AGAUAUUGGCCUCAAAAAGUGAGUCUCAACAGAAGCAUUUGCUACAGAGGGCACCGGAGUAUUGUCCUUCAUCUAUGACAGAUAUUUGGAAUUGCAUGAAUUCAUCUUUACCUGGUGCCUCUAAAAAGUCAGAUGGAUGGGUUGGACUUGGUUGCUGUGAAUUAGCAAUAGCAGCAGAGUGCCGCAGAGCGUGCAAACAGGCAUCUUCAACAAAUGACAUUUUAAAAACCUGCAAAAAACAACACG